AACAAUAACAAUAAUAAUAAUAAUAAUAAGUCACUGUUUGUUAAGGUAGUUAUAGACAGUACAGCAACAAUAAUAAUAAUAAUAAUAAUAAGUCACUGUUUGUUAAGGUAGUUAUAGACAGUACAGCAACAAUAAUAAUAAUAAGUCACUGUUUUAAGGUAGUUAUAGAUAGUGGCUAUUGUCUUUCAAUCUGUUAUUUUGUUAUAAUGUAUAGUAGUGGGUUGUUAGUGAUAUGUUAUAUUAUGUAAAGUAGACUAGGUUAUAAUGUAUAGUAGUGGGUUGUUAGUGAUAUGUUAUAUUAUGUAAAGUAGACUAGAUUAUAAUGUAUAGUAGUGGGUUGUUAGUGAUAUGUUAUAUUAUGUAAAGUAGACUAGAUUAUAAUGUAUAGUAGUGGGUUGUUAGUGAUAUGUAGAUGUUAUAUUAUGUAAAGUAGACUACGUUAUAAUGUAUAGUAGUGGGUUGUUAGUGAUAUAUAGAUGUUAUAUUAUGUAAAGUAGGCUAGGUUAUGUAUAGUAGUGGUUUGUUAGUGAUAUGUAGAUCAAGGUGUAAACCUCGGAUAUAGCCUACAUAUCAUAGAUGACCAGUCUAAA
ensembl:lncRNA